ensembl:lncRNA
CUCAGAAACUAGCUGCUGCCCCCCUGGAAGCACAGAGAGCCAUAUCUUAAGAACAAUCCUCCAGGCACAGGUUAACUAAAGGGCGCAAGAGGACACUGUGGCGGGAAAAAGCCACGAGAUAAACGGUCAGAAGAGCUGUUUUCCACCUCUCCCUCUGUCACCUGUCUGACAUUGCUGCUUCAGUUUCCUCCGGGUAAAGUGCUACUUGUACUCCCUACCUGAUGUGCUGAUAUGAGGUUCAGUGAUAUCUUGUGAAAAAUGCCAGGUCUCAAGCUUGUUGUCCCAGGGCUAUUCCAUUGCCUUGGCUUGUGGUGGAUCUCAAGGUGGUGUUGUGCUGUCAUCUCAGUCACAGUUGUCUACCAGUACCUGCAGAUUUGGACCCGGUGCAUUUCAAGCCACAGACAGAGCUUUCCCUCGGAUCUAGUGCUAGUCUAGUUUCACUUGCUCAUCAGAGGCCCGAGGGCAGAGGCUUCACACCUGACCCUUCAGACCAGAGUUCCAUAUGCAAAACAGCUGCUGCGGCUCCUGGGCGCCUGUGCUUCUGCGCAUGACACUCAAUGCAAGAUGGCGGCGGCGGGCCGGACAGAGAUGCUGCGUCCCACUCUGGGCUGGAGCCCCAGCAGCGCGCCUGCGCAUGACUCUGGCGAACCCCCUCCCCUCCCCACCGAUCCUAUAAAGCAGCCCUGCCCACGGCUUGUGAGCAGCAUGUGUUCUACAGCUGAGCUCCUGCCUCUUCAUUCUCUGGUCAAAAAAGAAAGCUUCCCUUGGCUGGACUUGGUCUACCUUGCUCAAAGGACCCCCGGCAGGAGGACCCUGUGACAGGGUCAGUUAUGAUAGGAUGCUUGUAAUGGGCUAGGCACCCUGCUAAAAGGACUGUGUGUAGACAGUUUCCAUGAUCCUCACCGCAGCUCCGUGGUUGUUGUAAGGUUGGUGCUCCCAUUUUCCACGUGAGAAAACUGAGAGUUAAGUGACCUGCCCCAUGUCACUCAGCAAGUGGAAGCGAAACUUUUGUACAGAAGGCUCUGGUAGAUGUGUGAAUGGACAGCAAAAUGCCAAAGGCAAGUGGCCAGAGGAAGAGCAGCAACCUGGACAUUUAGCCUCUGGAAAAAUGAAAAGUCACUGGAGUCUCCUUUCAUUUUUGAGAGCAGAAGCUGCCUGGCUUCUAAACUUCUGAGUGCCGAGCCUCAAAUGCCAGACUGGCAUUGUCAGGGAAUACGUGCUGCUGUUCCAUGGAAACCAUCUCCAUGAGUCAGAAAGAAAACGCCAAUCCUGUUGUCCUGAUACUGUGAUGUACGUUGCUAAUGUAACACCUGAUAUGCGUAAACUGGGCAAGAGUUGCUUCUCCAAGAGCUGCUGUGCAGAAUGCAGGGAGAGAUGGAGCCAUUUGGGAGUAGAACCCGUGUUUAGGGAAGGCAGUCACACCAUCUCAGAGUCCAUCUGUCCCCUCUCCCCAGGAGAGGACUUUGGCUUUGACUCAAGGGACCAGAUGAGACCCAUGCGUAGCUGGGAUUUCCUGCACCUCCUCCAGGAAGGCCUUACCAUAGUCCAAUGCUGCCUUACCUUGUGUUCAGUAGGUGAGUGGAUGCAGAACCAAGGGCUUACAAAAAGUGAGAUUGAACACAAAUUAGAACAAUCCCCUCUAACUCCCCAGACAUGACAGGGUGUCCAGAGCAGUCCAACCUCUCAGAGAGCACACAUGUUUAUCAGAUCUGCUGAGCCAUUUGAUACUUGGGUGUUUUUCUUCCAAUACCUUUCUUUAAGAGCUGGCUUACCUCCAAGGUUUGGGGAAGAUAAGAUUCUGAAUUAAUUCCUAAAGUUUCUGGUUAGAUAGAGACUGCCCUUCAAUCCAGGUUCUUCCUCUUUGUUCUUUGAUCUGAAUCCCGGGAGAGUCUUGAGUGUUUCUCCUGCUGCUGCUUUGUCUGAAUUUUGCCAGUCAGCUCUGUAGGUUGGUUUCCAGGGGUUGGUGUAGAGGGGAAGUGCCCCCUUUGUCUUGCUCUCUUUUUGGACCAGACUUUCUGUCCUUGAAGGAACACAACCCUCAAGGCUAAUGUGCUCCCCCUGAGGUAGGUAUUUCCCCACAUAAGUGGACUGAGCAACAAGCCUAGGAUUUAAACAAGCUCCAGGGUUGGCAUCUGUCAUCAUUUCCUUGUGACUCUCAUUUCCUCCACCCUUAGUCAUCCUUACUCAGGCUCUCAUUAUCUCCCACUGAGACCAAGGUAGUGGCCUCUUAACUGGUGACUUGGCUCCAAAGCCAACUCAGGCUACUCUACAUCUUGCUUCUCGGGAGCUGAAAACCUGACCAUGUCACCAAAGGCCGGAAGCUUUCUUUUGGUUCCCCAUCGCCUAUAGAAUAAAAGUUCAACUCUGUUGCAGCAUUUUGAGAUCUCCCUACUUUUUUAGUAGCUCUUCCUCCUUCCUUACUUUUCCUUAUUCUUCAACCAUGGUUACUGAGAAGCAUGUUGUUCCUUAAGCAGAUUGUGUCACACACCCAUGCCUGAAAUUCCUGGUUUGCUUCACUAAUAACUAAUCAUUUUCAAGUUGACAGGUCAAGGGUUGUAUUAAGGAUUGAAUUGUGUCCCUCCCCUAAAAAGAUGAAGUCCUAACCCUGAGUCCCUGUGAAUGUGACCUUACUUGGAAAUACAGUUUUUGUAGAUGAUCAAGUUAAGAUGGGGGAGAGAGGCAUGGAACUGAUUCUCCUUCACAGCCCUCAGAAGCAACCAAGGCUUCUGACACUUUGAUCUUGGAUUUCUAGCCUCCAGAACUGUGAGAAAGUAAAUCCUUUCUUUUUUUUUAAUUGAAGUGUAGUUGAUUUAUAAUAUAUAUCAUGUUUCAGGAGUAAAACACAGUGGUUUAGUUAUACAGAUAUAUUCUUUUUCAAAUUCUUUUCCAUUAUAAGUUAUUAUAAAAUAUUGAGUAUAGUUUUCUAUCCUGCAGAGUAGGUCUUUGUUGGUUAUCUAUUUUAUAUAUAUCCCAAACUCCUAAUUUGCAUUUCCUCCCACCAGUGUUUUCCCUUUGGUAAUCAUAAGUUUGUUUUCUAUGUCUAUGAAUCUUUUUCCGUUUUGGGCAUAAGUUCAUUUGCAUCUUUUUUUUUUAAGAUUUCACAUAUAAGUGAUAUCAUAUGAUGUUUGUCUUUCUCUGACUUACUUCACUUACUGUGAUAAUCCCUAGGUCUAUGCAUGUUGCUGCAAAUGACAUUUCAUUCUUUUAUGGCUGAGUAAUAUUCCAUUUCAUUCCUUUAUGGCUGAGUAAUAUACCAUAUCUUCUUUAUUCAUUCAUCUGUUGAUGGACAUUUAGGUCGCUCCCAUGUCUUGGGUAUUGUAAAUAGUGCUUUGAAUAUUGGGGUGCAUCUAUCUUUUCAAAUUAGAGUUUUUGUCUUUCCAGAUCUAUACCUAGGAGUGAUAUUGCUGGAUCAUGUGGUAGGUCUAUUUUUACUUUUUUUAGGUGCUUCCAUACCGUUCUCCACAGUGGUUGUACCAGUUUACAUUCCCACCAACAGUGAAGGAGGGUUCUUUUUUUCCAUACCCUCUACAGCAUUUAAUGACAUUUUAUUGAUGACUGUUCUGACUGGUAUAAAGUGGGUAACUCGUAGUUUUGAUUUGCAUUUCUCUGAUAAUUAGCGAUGUUUAUAAAGCAUUUUUCAUGUAUUUUUUUGCCAUCUGCAUAUCUUCUUUGGAGAAAUGUCUACUUAGGUCUCCUGCCCAUUUUUUGAUUGGGUUUUAUGUUUUUUGGAUAUUGAGCUGCAUGAAGUGUUUGUGUAUUUUGGAAAUUAAUCUCUUGUUGGUUGCAUCAUUUGCAAAUAUUUUCUCCCACUCUGUAGGUUGUCUUUUCAUUUCAUUUAUGGUUUCCUUCUCUGUGCAAAAGCUUUUAAGUCUAAUUGGGCCCCAUUUGUUUAUGUUUGCUUUUAUUUCCAUUACUCUAGAAGAUGGAUGCUAAUAUAGUGCUACAAUUUAUGUCAAAGAGUGUUCCACCUUUGUUUUUCUCUAGUUCUUUUAAAGUGAUCUUACAUUUAGGUCUUUAAUGCACUUUGAGUUUAUUUUUAUAUAUGGUGUUAAAGAAUAUUCUAAUUUUAUCCUUUUACAUGUAGUUGCCCAGUUUUCCUAGCACUACUUUUUGAAGAGACUGUCUUUUCUCCAUUGUGUAUUUGCCUCCUUUGUCAUAGGUUAGCUGUCCUUGGGUGUGUGGGUUUAUUUCUGGACUUUCUAUCCUGUUUGAUAGAUCUGUAUUUCUGUUUUUGUGCAGAUCUGUAUUUCUGGUUUUUUGUGUGGUAUAAUGCUGUUUUGAUGAUAGUAGCAUUGUAAUAUAGCCCAAAGUCAGGGAGCCUGAUUUUUCCAGCUCCAUUUUGAUACUUGGGGUCUUUUGUGUUUCCAUACAAAUUAAAAUUUUUUUUUGUUCUAGUUCUGGUCAAAAAUGCCAUUAGUAGUUUGAUAGAGAUUGUAUGGAAUCUGUAGAUUGCCUUGGGUAGUAUAAACAUUUUGACAAUAUUGAUUCUUCCCAUCCAAGAACACAGUAUAUCUUUACAUCUGUCCACUUUCACCAUUUUUAUUCAACAUAGUUUUGGAAGUCCUAGCUAUAGCAAUCAGAGAAGAGAAAGUAAUAAAAAGUCCAAAUUGGAAAAGAAGUAAAACUACUAUACUGUAUAUAGAAAAUCCUAAAGAUACUACCAGAAAACUACUGGAGCUCAUCACUGAAUUUGGUAAAGUUACAGGAUACAAAAUUAGUACACAGACUGGAGUUCCUGUUGUGGCCCAGCAGGUUAAGAAUCUGACAUAGGCUCCAUGAGGAUGUGUGUUUGAUCCCUGGCCUCACUCAGUGGGUUAAUGAUCCAGUGUUGCCACAAGCUGUGGUGUAGUUCCCAGAUGUGGCUGGGAUCAGGCGUGGCUAUGGUGUAGGCUGGCAGCUGCUGCUCUGAUUCACCCCUAGCCCAGGAACUUUCAUAUGCUGCAGGUGCAGCCCU